rnacentral:rRNA from 1 species
AAGACCUGAUAGUAUGGUGAGAUUGCAUGAUAGCACCAUUAAAGAUUUAUUGGUAAACGAUGGGGAUGCGUUCCAUUAGGCAGUAGGUGGGGUAACGGCCCACCUAGCCGACGAUGGACAGGGGUUCUGAGAGGAAGGUCCCCCACAUUGGAACUGAGACACGGUCCAAACUCCUACGGGAGGCAGCAGUGAGGAAUAUUGGUCAAUGGGCGAGAGCCUGAACCAGCCAAGUAGCGUGAAGGAUGAAGGUCCUACGGAUUGUAAACUUCUUUUAUACGGGAAUAAAGUAUCCUACGUGUAGGAUUUUGUAUGUACCGUAUGAAUAAGCAUCGGCUAACUCCGUGCCAGCAGCCGCGGUAAUACGGAGGAUGCGAGCGUUAUCCGGAUUUAUUGGGUUUAAAGGGAGCGCAGACGGGAGAUUAAGUCAGUUGUGAAAGUUUGCGGCUCAACCGUAAAAUUGCAGUUGAUACUGGUUUCCUUGAGUGCAGUUGAGGCAGGCGGAAUUCGUGGUGUAGCGGUGAAAUGCUUAGAUAUCACGAAGAACCCCGAUUGCGAAGGCAGCUUGCUAAACUGUAACUGACGUUCAUGCUCGAAAGUGUAGGUAUCAAACAGGAUUAGAUACCC